GAUGAACGCUAGCGGCAGGCCUAACACAUGCAAGUCGAGGGAGAGGUUAUCUUCGGGUAACCAAAACCGGCGCACGGGUGCGUAACGCGUAUACAAUCUGCCUUUCACAUAGGGAUAGCCCGAAGAAAUUUGGAUUAAUACCUAAUGGUAUAUAAGAGCGGCAUCGUUUUUAUAUUAAAGCUACGGUGGUGAAAGAUGAGUAUGCGUUCUAUUAGUAAGUUGGAGAGGUAACGGCUCCCCAAGGCGACGAUAGAUAGGGGUUCUGAGAGGGAUGUCCCCCACACUGGUACUGAGAUACGGACCAAAUUCCUACGGGAGGCAGCAGUGAGGAAUAUUGGACAAGGGUCGAAAGACUGAUCCGGCCAUGCCCCGUGCAGGAUGAAGGUCCUAUGGAUUGUAAACUGCUUUUGUAAGAGAAGAAUAAGGAGUACUGUACUUUGAUGACGGUACCUUACGAAUAAGCAUCGGCUAACUCCGUGCCAGCAGCCGCGGUAAUACGGAAGGAUGCGAGCGUUAUCCGGAAUCAUUUGGUUUUAAAGGGGCCCGUAGGCCGGGCUGAUAAGUCAGAAGGGUGAAAGCACUUAAGCUCAACUAAGCAAACUGCCUUUGAAAUUGUCAGUCUUGAAAUGAAUUGUGAAGAAGUUGGAAUUGUGUAGGUGUAGCGUGAAAAUGCUUAGUUAUUAUCCCGGAACACCCAUAGCGAAGGCAUAUUAUCUAACAAUUUUAUUGACGCUGGAUGGAGGAAAACGGGGGGGGGGGAAAAGGAUUAAGAUACCUUGUUGUCAAAGGGGCGGACUACCCCUUGGUUAUCAAGCUUUCGAUACGCGCCACUCUCCAGGGGGGGCCCAACUACUUUUUUUUUUCUCUUAGUAAAAGAUAAAAAACACAAA
rnacentral:rRNA from 1 species